rnacentral:tRNA from 1 species
UCCCUGGAAGACUAGUGGUUAGGCCACAGUGCUGCCACCGCUGCUGCCCAGGUUCGAUUCCUGGCCAGGAAA